AGAGUUGAUCAUGGCUCGAGGACGAACGCUGGCGGCGUGCUUAACACAUGCAAGUCGAACGGGGAUUACGUUGGAAGUCCUUCGGGGCGGAAGAUUUAAUUCGAGUGGCGGACGGGUGAGUAACGCGUGAGCAACCUGUCCCAGACAGGGGGAUAACACUUGGAAACAGGUGCUAAUACCGCAUAAGACCACGGCACCACAUGGUGCAGGGGUAAAAAGGUGCAAACCGGUUUGGGGUGGGCUCGCGUCCGAUUAGAUAGUUGGUGAGGUAACGGCCCACCAAGUCGACGAUCGGUAGCCGGACUGAGAGGUUGGCCGGCCACAUUGGAACUGAGAGACGGUCCAAACUCCUACGGGAGGCAGCAGUGGGGAAUAUUGGGCAAUGGGCGCGAGCCCUGACCCAGCAACGCCGCGUGAGGGAAGAAGGUCUUCGGAUUGUAAACCUCUGUCCUAUGUGACGAAGGAAGUGACGGUAGCAUAGGAGGAAGCCCCGGCUAACUACGUGCCAGCCGCCGC
rnacentral:rRNA from 1 species